GGACUGUGAAGUCUAGAAAGCCUGGGUUGAGGUAUUUUGUGAAUGAUUGCAGUCUUUCAUUCAUACUGGUGCGACUAACACGAUAUGCCUUUUAAGGAACGCUGAAGAAUCUAUUCCAAGAAGGUAGGUUUUAUUUAAUUGCAAUUGUUAAUUGAACAGCUUUUUUGUGCAUCUGAAGCAUCAUCUCCAAAUCAAGGCAUCCAGGAGAGGAAACAAUGAAGACUGCCCAUCCAACUUUACCUUGCUUCCCUCUCGCCUCAGCCUGCACCUGGUAUGCUGUAGGAUCCCAGCACUUGGCCUUUCCUCAGACAAGCCCAGCAGGAUACGCAACUGGGGGCAGCUUUUUGGUACUCGAUAUUCUCCUCCUCAUUCAGAAUCACCCCCAGGGCUCCCUUACUACGCACCUUUCAGCGCCACUUGAAGACAGUCAAGAGUAUCUGUAUGGAUUUUCCAAGGAUAUUCACAGAAUCAUAGAAUCAUUUGAGUUGGAAGGGAUCCUUAAAGGCCAUCUGAUCCAACUCCCCUGCAAUGAACAGGGACACCUACAGCUAGAUAAGAUUGCUCAGAGUCCCAUCCAGCCUGACCUUGAGUGUCUCCAGAGGCAGGCCAUUCACCACAUCUCAACUCACCGUGUUCACCACUGGGUGAUCCAUGGUCAUCCAUGGGUCUCCCACAUUACUUUUCCUACACUGUAAGAUGCAUUAAUGUUCUUAGCAUGUGCUCCCACCCCUUCUCUCAAAUAGAACUGAGGCACACAGAUCAGAACACAACAUGCCCGUUAAUACAGCCUGUUUGGAGAUACACAGAGUAUUACAGACUGGGGCAUUUAGCAUCAGAGAACACUGUAAGAGUUGAAAGUCCAAAUUUGUGGGUAUUAACACUCACUGAUUUGGGAAAUUGGAGCCCCAAUGGGUUCUGCCAAGCUUCCUCAUAGUCAUGCUGGCCAGAAUCAGCAGUCCUCCUGCUAUGCCUAUGCCUGAAGCAGAUUUUCUCUACCUGAGACCCUCUUCUUUAGUCAGUGCACAUUUUGCACUCUCUUCCAGGAGAAGAGUGGCACGGCUCCUCUCACCAGCAGCUCCCCUGCCCCUUCCGGUACUGUCAUCCUGAGCAUCAAGCAAGCGCAGAAUGUUUGGGGGAAAAUGAGCUCUAUGUCAUGGUCACAAGGUGCCUUGGUGGCAACAAAGCUUUUUAGACAAGGGAGAUGACACAUUUCCGAAGAUGAUUAAUCCACUAAAGCCGCCAGAAUAGAGAUAACCUCAAAAAGGGGAACAUUAAAAAUAGAGGAAAAAAAAAAUGCUGCCAAACCCAAACCUGCUGCAGGUUCUUAUCUUCCAAACUUUUCACAUGUAAAAGUACCCUAGGAUCUGGCUGCUUUGAGACCACAUGAGUCAUAUCCUUGCUAACUGGAAUACUUAAAUUAAGCUUGUUCAGCACUUGUUACAAUGGAAGGAAGUUAGUAAUAAUAGGAAAUGGAUAGCACAGGUCUUGUUUCUUUAAACCCAUUUACUUCACUGCUUUCUUAAGUGGUCUGAAGCAAAUCUGUCACUGUAGUGGUAUGUUUAUUUUUGCUAACCUGAAAAAUAGCAAGGAAUACACUUUCUCUGUGUAACAGAUUGUAUCUGCCUAGUUUUAUAUGUGUAGAAACUCCUGCCAUCUGAGCCUUUUGCAUGCCUUUCCCUGCCCUUUUCCUGUGAAAAUUCCACUUGUCUACUCUCUUCUCUUUGAAUCACGUUGUGCUACCUGCUGUAGGGAACCUGCUUUAGCAGGGAGUUGGACUCGAUGGUCUCCAGAUGUCCCUUCCAACCUCUACAAUUCUGUGAUAUUCUGAUCCCAGAUUCCACAGUAUCCAGUGCUCAAAACAAAAUCCUGAAGGCUGCACAAGGCUGUGCUAGAUCUACUGGUCUUCAAAUUAGGCUGGAUGAACUGAUCAUGCCAGACAUUGAUAUUCCAGUUCCUGUUAAUGGGGCUAUUGAACACACCCCAAAAAAUGCAGGUAUACUUUAAAGAGUAAGAAAUGUAUUUAAGGGCAGGGAGAUUUUACUGUCUUAAUCACUUCAACACCUUCAGCUUCCACUGGAAGAUUUUUGUCUCUUAGGAUCAAAAGAGAGCUUUAGCAGUACUUUCUUGCAGUUAUUCUACUGGUGCAGUGCUGGACAGAAGGAUUAUACGACUCUUCUUCAAACUACAGGCUGCUGACUGAGAAGUCUUCUAAACCAAUUAAUUUGGAAUAAUUACUUUCUCACUCUUUAUGAGGUUCUUAAAGGGGAGGCACAGUGAACACAUUAGUAAGUAACCAGCAUAGUAAGAGCAGAUAAACCUUUUCCUUGGGAAAUUUUAGCACUUGUGAAAGAAAGGUACUGCCUACCCUAUUUGGACUUGGGCCAGAAGCGGCACAGACAGACAGUGUACAAACUCAGACAGCUCUAUUAAUGAAUGCCAGCCCUGAUUUGAUAAGGCUGCUCGCAAGCAUGGUUUUCAUGCUGCUGUCUAAUAAAACUCAAGCAGCAUAGAUUUAUUUGUUUAUUUAUUCAUUCAUUCAUUUAUUGCAGAGAUUUAGCUUUGCUGUUGAAGAAAGCAGAGAAGAGUUAAGAUCAAAGUAAACUCAUUUCUGUAGUCCAGACUCUAGGACCUCCCUUCCUUGCCCUGAGGUAGUAAAAUUGCCCUCUUCUGAGUCAGCAGAACCUACUUAUUCCCUUCCCAUCAGGAUCAACACCUGUUUACAGGGUAGGGUGAUGUUUCAGGCAAAUACUACCAGCCUGCCACAGAGAUCUAAAAUUAGAGUACCAGGGAAUUGCUAAAUGUUAUGAAUGGUGUGGUUUACGAAGCUUACAAAGGAUGAGGACAGUAACUAACAUUUGCUUCUGAUCUAAUCCAGGAUUUGAACUUAGCUCUCAGAGGUUAAAGAACACCGUACUAAGCUCUUGCACCAUCUAGCCUUUGUUAUGGAUGCCUAAUAAAUAGAUUUAUCAUUGUGUAAUCUGUGUUUGCUGUUAAUGGUUACCCCAUGUUUAAAUAUUAACAGCACUUGUAAGGUGUUUUCUAAAAUGGUGUUGAGGUACUUGAAGCUUUGAGACAAUCUGCAACCUGCACUUUAAGUGUUCUUUUCUGGGGAGGGGCUAGGGUGGGAAGGGAAGCCCAGCGUGAUUUGCAUCAUAAACCAAUAAACCAUAAGCAAUAACAGAGAAGGAAAAAAAAAAAAAGAAAAGAAAAUCAGCAUGAUCUUAGGGAAAUCAUUGCUUUAGUCCUGGUCUUAAUGACUGCCCAUGCAAAGAACAGAAUUACUUUAUAGUAAUAUUCACAAUGAAUAAAUACCAAAAAAAAACUAACAGACGAAGCAGAUAUUCUUAUCUACAGACAAAUCUAUUGGCAGAGAGAUAAACCAGACUCAAGGAAAACAGCUUCCACAGUGCAAAGACACAGGCUUGUCUCUCUGCAGCUGUGAACAAUGUAUUCGGGAUCAUACACGUGGUACAAUGCACGUUUUCCUGGCUGACGUGUUCUGCUGGCCAUAAGGUCAUUUACUUUUCCCAUAUUUGACAUGGCUUUCACGUCAGGAGGAAUCACGAGACCCCCGUAUGAUAAGUGCUGACUGAGGAGACUAACCUUGCACGUUUAAAGUCCAGUGACUAAUUUUUAAACUGUGAGAUGGCCUGUUUUACUGUAAAUAAAGCUAUUUCUCAAAUACCAGCAGAUAAAAGGUACGUAUUUCUUACUACAACAGGGCAAGGUGUGGUUUCUCUUUAUAUUUGAAAAGCUAUAGUUUCUACUGAUUCGGCAAAUUGACAAGUAUUUUGGAUGUAUGUAAGUUAAUGAAAAAUCAAGUCUAGAAUGAAAAAAAUAGUAAGAUAAAAGGUUGUUUCUAUGCCUUAACACCAGUCUUUUUCUGCAGUACCUGGAAGUCUGAAGAGGACUUUUCUUAACAGCAUAGUGAAAGUCACACCAAAAAGCGUGCCUGGAGGAACCCCUUGAAUUUGAGACGUUAGAAACACUCCAAGGUCACAGUAACACAUUAAAGCACAUAGAAAGCUCGCACAAAAUCCAGUGGACAUCUCCACUGCAUAUCUACUGUAACGUGCGUAAAGGAAGGAAAAACAGUCAUAACCAUGGCAAAGAAGAAGAGUGAUCCUAAACCAGGUGGUGGUCGAGCUAUAUUUUCUGGACAGUUAUAUUCGAAUUGUCUGGGGGAGGAAAAAGAGAAAACCAGCCAGAGCUAAGAAUAUAAGGUAUAGCUAGCAACCAUGGCAACUCUAAUAUUUAACUACAUAAUCCAGGGUCAUUAUCUAGUAAUAGCAAUAUAACAAGUGCUCAAAAUAACCAGCUAUCCCAUCCCUUUCACCCAAACUUAGAUAGCCAAAAACAUCUGUUAUGGAAAUACAUGUGUGUUUCUGGAACAUAAAUUAAAUAACAUUCUGUGACCUAAAUGUGGUGUGUUCUCACUUCCCCACCCUUUUCUUUCUUUUUGAUCAUGUCUCCCAUUCCAGACUGAUUUUGUCCCUCCUACUUUGUACUGCUGGCAUAAAAGGGAAGAGUCUGAGUGAAGAUUGCAAAAAGAGCUAUGAUGAAUUAUAUUAGCAAAGCAAAUCUAUUUAACGCUCUCUUAAAUUCUUUCAAUUUCUUGCUUCCUUUUGUCUUUAUACUUCACUCUACCUUCUCACAUGCUUUGCCCUCUGAUUUUUCCAUUUUUGAACCUGAAACCUCCCUUUCACAUUUCCCAUUUUCUUAUGAAAUAGUUGCCAUCUUCUCUCUCGCUCCUAGUCUAGUAGAUUCUCUUUCCAUCUGUACUGCACACAAAAGAGAGGAGCAAAUAAGCUCUGUUCUAGCCCUGAAGAAAAGCAAUCCCAGUCAUUUCACACUACUGCCUUCCAGUACUCCAUCCACACACUACAAGGAGAGUUGAGUCAAACUAAGAAUUGAAAACCAUUGAAAAGUUUCAAAAAGAGUAAAUAUUUGUUGACUAUUUUAAAAUAAUUUGAUUCAUCUUUCUAUUUCUUAAAGAUGCUUCCUUUAGAAGUUUACCUAUGUGUUAUUUCUUUAUAUAAAAGGUUACUCUGAACUUUGGAGGCUGGAAAAAAACCACCAAUCCAACACACCUCCAAUAACUCUAUUAAUAUCAGGUUGACUUUCUUUCUCCUAGCCACCAAAUUAAAAACAGAAAAAAUGUUAUUUUCUGCUGUUUGCCUGACAACCACCACCAUCAAUAGUCUGCAUGCACAGUGUUAGUAGCAGUAGGCACCACAGGUGCCGACACUGCCAGGUGGGACUCAACAUUUGAGUUCCACAGGUGAAUUGACUUGUGAAGAAGAAAUGCAGAACACCAGCAGGGCCAUCAGCCAACAGCACUUCUCACUGCCUUUGGUAAAGUUGGAAGCUGAAAAGCACAGCACAAAUUAUUUGUUCACAUUAAAAGGGACUCUUUGUCCAUUUUAUCAAAUGGAUAUUUAAAAGAAAUAGACAGGUGUAUCAAGCAAUUGUGAAUCUACACUUCCAUACAUUCAAAUUCAAAUUUAGAAAAUUAAGACACCUGUAACAUUUCCUCAUCUGCUCAUGGUUCAGAAAAAUACAAGAUCACCAUGGUUUCUAUUUGAUAAUAACUGUUCUUUAGUCUAAAAUCUCUGCAUUGCAUCAGACUUCUUUUAGAAAAGACAAAGCAUCCUUCUCUUCUGAGAAAGGAAUACUCAAUAUGCAUGUCACCCCAGCCAUCAUGAUCCCCUCUUCAUGUCUUCAGUUCAGCAUAUGAUAACCUAUGAACUUCCUUUAACUUUCUAACUGUUACUAUUGAGACAAUUUUAGAUAUAAAUCACUGAUUCCUAGACCAAAAAUUUCAUGUAUGUCUUGCUUAUCUCUCAACUCAUAACCCUUUCUACAUAGUUUCAUAUAAAAAAUAAGGUAAAUGUGUUCAGGUCAUGCAUGCUUACAUGUAUAAGGUGCAUGUAGAGGUGUAUCUCCUAGUAACAUUUUAAUCCACCUUCCAACUUCAACCAAACUUUACGGGAUGACGGUGUCUCAGUUUCUCGAAGGUUUAAAAAAUAAACAUACUGCUACAGAAAAGGAAGACACCUCAAAGAGGAAAGACAGUACCCUGACCCCUCCUCCAAAGCACUAAAAGAUGGAGAUCUAUCUGGAGGAAGGGACUUUAUAAAUAGUUCCCUGGAGAAAAAGUUUCAGUUGGUACUUGCAGCUUUUUAAGCCUCAGAAUCAAAUACCUACAGUGCACCUACCAGUAGGAAAUAAGAAUCUUUGGUUCUAAUUCUUGUUGGUCUAUUUCUUUUGAUUAAACGAUUUGAAAGCUGGGGAAUGGUGCUGCACAGACAUCUUUCAUGCCUAGGCACUUCACGGCUGCGUAGCACUUGAGCAUCUGGGCCACAGAUGUGCCGUUAGGAGGCUUGUAAGAAGGAUCGUAAUAGAAUUCUAUUUGCUGCCUUAUUCAGCUGCUCUUGUAUGGUUGUAUUUUCUGGAGCAUGAAAUCUUACAUCCACAAAACAAGUUCAGCAGAGGUAGAAAUAUGGAAUCUUCCUCACGUUGUUCCACUGUUUGCAUGCUCUAGUGAAAUGAAGGAAAAUGGCAGCUUGAAGCCCUUUAAUUCAUCCAGAAUUACAACUGCUGAGAAUCUGUCUUCAGGUCUCAGAGGCUGAUUAGGACAGUUUUUGAGCUCAAGUAAACAGUUCCAUGCAUGCACCUGCCAUUUUCAAGGAGAAAAUAUUUCUAAUGUAGCUAGUACCACGGAUUGCAAAAAUGGACUCAACAUUUUUUUUUUCAUUCUUGCAAAUGCAGAACAUAUAUAUUAGUGUAGUUUUCAAGAGCCUCAAGAUAACUUUGUAAAUGUGCAGAGCUGAUUCAGGAACGCAUCAAUAACAAUAAUGAAUUUGUACUGAUGGGCUCUAAAAUGCAAUUAAUCUAAGGCUGUCAUUUGAAUUUAUGUCUGAAGUUUAGCAUCUAAAACCACCAUUUAAUAUUUUAUAUUCAGUUGGCAUUUACAGAAAGCAUAAACACAUACGGUUCCCUCUGAAUUCCCUUGGUUAUUAAAUAGACACAUAAACAGCUUAUAUUAGAUGAUCAAAUUUGACAUAUCAUUGUAAAAUUAUUUGGGCUGUAUAUCUUGUCUCUACACAUUUUUUAAAAUGCCAGUUACUUUCCAUUGGCCAAGUUGAAUUAAUGAUGAAUCAAGUGCAGUCACUGAGAUAAUGUGGUGUUAAGACUCUUCAGGUUAUCGUUUCUUCUUUUUUUAACUUCUGUGCCAAUAUGUUAGCAAUUGAAUGCUGUGCAGAUCCUGCAGUGGAAGAGGAUUCGGUACUGGGAAACCUCAACUGUUUCUGACACAUUUGGCAACAACUAACCAUAUUUUGUCUACAGCCAUCAACUCUGAUAAAGACAAGCGCCACUUUCUUACUCUACAAAGUUUGGUUUCACAGUGAUCUCUCGCUAUCGUACUUAUAAGACCACAGGAUUUCACCAGUUCCCACCCCUCAGCUUGCUUUUGCAGCUGCAGACUCCCACAGAUGCAAACGUGGCUGAACUGCGUGGUCAACUGGUGCAAGGAUUGCCGCGACAGACCUAGAGUGGUUCCUCCUCUAGUCAAAAUCCUCUCUGAUAGAGCUUUUCCAAGCCCCGUUGCUAUACUAUAAAUGUUUUUCUUCCAAACAUGUUAAGAGCUAUAGUCUUGCUUUCACCUUUAACUACAGCAAUCACUAAAACUUCAUGCAGCAUUUGGAAGAAUGGCAGUGUGGUUUUAUUUUCCCAAGAAAUCUCAGAUACCCACACAGAGGUAACUCUCCUUGAGGAAGGCAGCACUUCCUGAAGUCACCCUCAAUGUGAAUGUCAAAAUAAAAAAGCAUUUGAAGGAGAAAGUCUUCUUCGCAGUAACUGCUGUUGCUUGGGGUUUGUUGCCACUCACCCUUUUUCCUCCCUCACCGAAUUCCUUUUGUUGAGUUUCUUGUGGAAAGAAAACCCACUUUGUCAUUUAAUGGUCAUGUGAAGAUGACAGGGCUAUGAAUAGAGGCCAUACACAAAAAUUUAAAAAAGAAUUUAAAAGUCUCCCUCCAGCUUAAGCCUUUUGGAUGUGAGCACCUAAAAUGUGAAUGUACAUUGAGAUGAUACACAGAACAAUAAUUACUAACAUUGUCAAGUAAUUGAUAUCAAACUGAGGAUCCAUUAUGCUUUUCAUUAAAACAUAUAAAGUUACACUGGAAAAAAACCAACCCUAAAACUAACAAGCUAACUGCUCCAGAUGAACUAGACUGCUAUAUGACAAGGAUAAAGCGCCCCAAUGCUGUCAAUGAGGGUUUUUAAGGGACUUCUGUAUAACUGAGGGCCUAAAGCUUUGACAGCUCUGUGUCCUUACUGGUCCAAAUUAAUCCCAACCAAGGGCCCGCUGUGCUGUACUGUGGCUGUCAUGCAGAGGAAUAAGGUCAUGAAAUAUCAUCUAAGACCCUCACAUUUAGAAUGGGAUUUUACAAGGAGAAUAUACAGCAAUAAACAAUGUGGGAAAGUUACUCACUUUCUUUCUUCCAGCAGAGCAAUUUCUUUUUUCACCUCAUGAUACUCUUCUGCUAUUUUGCAGUGUUGUUUGUACACCUGCAUUGAUUCCUGAGAGUCAUGACAAGGAGGCAGAGGCUUUAUGAACAGAAGAAGAAAAAAAAAUACUGCUUUUGAAUGCAAUAUUAGGAAUGAACACAUAUUUUGAAAGAUAAAAUCGUCAGUUCAUCUCUGUGAGAAUAGAGAAAAAAGUUGAAUGCUUUGAGAAAAGCUGCUGUAUUGAAAAUACUCCUAGUGAUGGCUUUCCACAGAAGGGAAAAAAUGCUUUCCUGCACAUGAAUAUGCAUAAGCCUUCAAACUUUGUAAGGAUUUUCAGCGCUUUUCACAACAACUUUGCAAAGUAUCAUGAAAGACUGUUUAAAGAAAGAUUUCUCCCUUACCUAUUCCUUUUUCAUCUAUAGCAAAGUAAGAAUGACAGAGCUGACAGAUUGGUCCUAUCUACAAAAUACGUGAGCAUCUUUUCACUGCAGAAACUACAGAACUGAACAGAAGGGUAGUAUGAGUGUAAACUAGCCCUUAUUCUCCAAUUCCCAAAAGAAGAAUAAAAGGUACGGAAAGUUACUGACUAAACACUCUUUUUCAUAGAAGCACCACUUCUUCCAGCUUAUUAUUAAAAUGGACAAGACUGCGAAUUGAGACACUAGGGCUCAUUCACAAGGAGUUACACUGCUGACUCUGGUACAGCCAAGAUUUCCUAGUGUGUGUGACCCAGCAGUGCCUCAGUCUCUAAGUAGUUUGCUCAAUCUCUGCAUCGCUAGUUCCUGUAGAAGAGGAUAUACUUAGUUAGCAGAAAUGUUACGAAAGCAUUGGCAAAGUGUGUCCAACUUCCACAAGAGGAGCAUGUGAGAUUCAGAGUAGAAAGACAACAGUAAUGUAAAAAUCUGAUAAAAAAUACAUAGCGAUGAUAUGUAAAAGCAUUGUACCUCCUAACCUGUGUACCUUAUUAUUAUUGAUAAUAAUACAUUAUUACAGAAAGAUUUGUUGUUGUUGUUCCAGUGCAUACUAAGUACAGCAGAUUAAAUCACCCUGUCCUAGGUCUCUUCACAAGAAUUUCAACUAAAAGCUUGAAAAUACAGUGUGGUUAAGUGUCAGUGUAUUUUGUUCCUUAAAAGAGUACAACUUAAUUUGGGACUCAAGCUUGGCUGUCACAUCUUGACCACAGCACUUUCAGGAAGUGUAUUAUUUUUAAGUUAUUAGCCAUGAAUCAAUUGACUGUAAAUGAAGUCCAAAUAGCAUGCUUGAGCCACCUGUUUGAAGCAAAAGGAAGCACUUAAAAUAGUUCCCUUACUGUCCAGUUAAAGAACAUCCAAUUGCCUUUCACAAUAUAAGCAGAUUUUUAUUUCUUGCCGUUCUAUUUUGACUCUUAUUUGUAGCGUAAUAUUCCUUCAAGUGCAUUCUUAGAAAAAGAAAAGCACAAGUCUUCAGACAUUUCCUAUCUAUGACCUCGCAAUCUCGUGUUCUAGCUAAACUGGAAAUACAUAUUUUAUCAAACAUAUUCAGAGAUAAACGUUAAAAAUGCUUUUAUCCAAGAGCCAGAGUGUGCUGGCUUGAGAUGCACACCAGUGCAAAAAUCUAACUAAUGUAUGGACCUCUGAAAGUAUUUGCAGAUGGUAUGCAGUUCCGCAUUGAAAAUUUAAAACAGAUAGUCAAUUUCCAUGUUCCAAAUGUAAGAAAUGCCACAGCAGAAUAGUUUUCAUGGCACGGUUCUGAGCUUGGAGAAUUUGGGACCCCAGGGAAAGGGCUGUCCAUUACUUGGUGAAUGUGGUCCUAGGAAUGGGCUUUUAAUUGCAUUUCAAUGUGGAUGAGCAAUAGCGCCAUUCAUAUAGUCACCCAAAUAAUAACCACAAAUUUAACAGGACAGAAUAUAGAAGUCUCGGCGCUCUAAUCCAAGAAUGCAAGGGUGAGCCAAAGUAGCAUCUCUGGUAUCUACCAGAGAUCAGCAAACAACAAAUGCAUCAUAAUAAAACAAUCUGGAACUAUACCCAGUGGGGGAAAGUCCCCAGAGUGAUGCUUCAAAGAAGAAGAAACCUGCUUUUGCUUUCAGCAUAGUUUCCGCAAAACUAUCUGGUUUAAAUCAGUUUAAAAAUUAAAGCAGCAUUCAGUUUCUGUAUUCCAGCUUCCCACUCAAAAGAUAUAUUUAGAGAGUUAAAAUUAUCUAGUCAUGCUGAGACUUAAUAUCUAAUUCCCACUUAGAACCAGUUGCUGGCUUUCAAACUCCUACCAUUGUUUCCUCUUCAGUGUCAUUUAUUCUUACAUUGAUAUUUUAUCACUCAAAAUAAACAGACAAUGAAAGAUACCGUUUGCUGGUAUUCUGUUCACACAAUUCUGUUUCAGUGUUGAUGGCUGCUCUUUCGAACUAAAGCAAUAACUUUAUUUCUAAUUGUGAAAAGGUACCUAUUUGGUACAUCAAAAUUAAGACAGUGAUUUUACUUUAAAGUGUAGAUUUGAUAAUGUUUUUGUAUGGCUGGAUAUUUCAGUUUGCUCUUUGGUAAAACUGACAUUUCUAAGAAUGGUUUUGCAGAUAAUACCUACAAUUCCUAUGAGUAGUUUCUGGGCUGUGGUACAUAAAACACAGGCUUAUGCAUCAUUAUUUAACAAGCACUGUACUGUAAUCACAACAGACGUAGAGGAGCAACACUCUGUUGUUUUGCUGCUCACCAUAACAGACGAAGCAACACAUAAGCACAGGGAUAUUAUUUUAGCCAUAUUUAAACAGCCUACUUUUUGACAUAAACAAGAGUGCAGAGAAUUAAUGAUUCAUCUGUUCCCACGAAAAUAAGCGUUUUCAGAAGAUGGCAGGGCAAACUCCUGAAAAAAAAAAAGCUCAGAAAGAUGUGAAGCUCACUUGUUCCAAAGGGGUACCUCCGAAUUGGCAGACAUUUACAGUGUUGGCAUACUUCCUUAGAAAAGAAACGAAUAACAGUAAUGUAGCAGUUACUGGACUUGCCCAUGAUCAUCUAAACAAGACUGGGAGGAAUGUGCAAAAAUCUGAAUCCAGCCCCAUGUUAUCAGAAUCAAAUUCUGCAGUCCAUGGGCUUGUCACGUUGUUAGAGCAGCUCAGGUCCCCUGCCUCAGCCAAGGGUCUGCCCCAGGGCCUCACCAAGAUUAGAAAUUAUUCUGUUAUUUCCAGUUCCAUUUUGCUGAAGAUAAGUUUGCGGGUUUUUUUAUUACGCCAGCACUGGCUUUCAUUCAAAUGGUGCUCCUUUAUCCUGCCUAUUCUACCCCUGUGAUGUGCUUACAGAGAGCUCUCAUGCACUUUCCAACCGUACAUCCAAGCUGCACUCCUCCAAUCCUUCCCAAAGCUUUUUCCUCUAGCUUGUCCUAGCAGUCUCUGCUCCCUGUUCCACCUCCAGUGCCUGCAACCAGGCCACAUGAAGCCUUACAGUGCCUACCCAGAGGGCAGUCCUCUGGCAGAGAACUGGCAUCCCCAUUCUAAUCCAUGAAGCCUGUAUGCUAUUUUUUGGUAAGAGCUCUCUAGCUUCCAUAGGUGACAAAUGACAGAAGUCCUUAAAAAAGCUCAAUUUACAGUAUGGGUUUUUUUUCAGUCCGAUACUUCAGGAAGUAUCUUGCCAGUCCAUAAUUAAUAUAUAUAAAAGCAUACCUGCUACAUAAGCAAAAAAAGCUCCUGCCAAAUAAAGUUAUAUUUAAUGGCAACAGUUGCUACUUUUAAUCCUGCUUAUUUCAGGCUUCAGUGUCAUCCACCCUCAUUUUCCUGUGUUGGCAAAAUAUGCGCACACAGCAUCUCUGAUUUGGUUCUCAAAGCUAUGACAAAACCUGUAGCUUUCAGAGAUACUGUUGGUCGCCAUCCCUACUUUUCAACAAGGUCUGAUUUUCCUUGUAUUUCAUGGAAUGACUCACCUUGACAAACUUUCUACAGAACCCAGCAAACAGACACUAAGAGAUCCUGUUUCAGGUUAUUCUGUUACUUCACAUAGGUACGUACAUCUAUAGAGGAUGGCAGCAACUGCAACUCUUCAAGCAAUUUCAGACAGGUAGUCCAGGAUAUAUCUAGUCUAGUCUACUUUUACUAUGGAAAUAAGCAGCUAUCUUUCUUUCAAACAAAUCAGGUCAGCUGGAUGGAAGCAACUGAGAGUUCUGCUUUUGUUGCCUGAGAGAUCUUCUAUACUUUUCCAUCAUAGUGUGAUGCUUUGGCUUUGCCAACAUCCAUGCCAUACAAAAUCUAAAAGUGAAGUUAUUGCAGCAGUGUUACGGGAGACUUAGCAAGUUCAUUGGCAAUCAAAUCUAAUUAUAGAGUACCAAAGUACUAUAGCAAUUCUCUUGGAAUUUAGUACUUUUAAUACAGAGCAAACUUUUUAAAACUUCUGUACAUUUUUUAACUUUCUAAAAUGCUUUUUUAUUUGUGUACCAGUGGUCUUGGCAGUCAGCAGAAGCAAUGGUUCCAUUAUUCAGUUUCCAGGCAGAAUAAACAAGGUUUCUGAUAAAUGCUUGUGUCACAUUCAAACUGUCCUUCUUGCAACGUUUUCCUCGCUUCCUACCUCUUCCACUUUCCUACUAAAGCAUAAAAAACUACCCCUUGACUUAACAAGCUGAUAUCAUGAACAGUUGGAGUCUUUUCUCUGCCACAGGAAAUUUUAUGGUCAUCCAACUCUACUGAUUUCAGGAGAUUUAUCAUACAAAAUGUGAUACAAAUGCUUGACCAAGCUCGUAAUUUCAUGAAGGAUUAGGAGUUACAGAGCGCUCUGUAUAUCUGUACGAGAUUUGUGUUCUUCCCUAUUUAAAAUCAAACACCCAGAUGGAAUAAAGAGUUUCUUGGAGAACAUGAAGAUGAACCACAGGAAAUGCUGGAGCAGGACAGACAGCAGACAGGGCCUAGCAAUUUAAGUUUUUAACACCAGAUACAUUCAUCUACAUUCUGUGACCUGAGCAGCAAGGCCUUACAUGCUGAUAUAGAUGUCUAAAUAUAGACAAAACCAGUAGUGAAAUGUUUGUCAGAGAGGCCACCACCACUGUGCAGCUAAUCAAGGCCUGGUUUAGCUCUGACACAAGGCAAAACACUUCCCAACAACAAACUAACAAAUGCAGCAAGCCUAGCCUCUCUUCACCUCUGACUAUUCUGCUUGUACAAUGGGAAUGGAAGAACACAAACCCAAAGCCCGAAUAAGCAAGUGCUUUAUCCUCAAAGUGUUGCUUUUCAGUGGGAAGAUAAGACAUUCCAAUACUGCAAACAAAGGAAAGCCAAAUUAAAAACUUAUUAACAUGAGUUGGUUUCAUUUAAGCAUAUAAAGAACUUCUUUAUAUUAACGAAACUCCAAAAAAAGAUUAAGCUUUUCUUGUCUAUAAACUGCUCUGUUCUCAUAUAUAGAGCUAUUGUGUCUGGCCAUACACAAUACUUGUUUUUUUUUUUAAAGGCCAAGAAAUAAGAACAAAACUUUUGAAUUAGAGAACUGGUAUCAUUUUCUUACGUAUUACUUCUUGAAACAUUUUCCUCUCACAUUAGUGGAAAAAGUAACAUUCAGAAAGGUCAUUGGGGAAGAUGAUAUUUUUGUCUGAACGUACCUAGUUGAUCUGAACACUGGAUUGAUCAUUUUUAUUCUUCAGAAAGUAGCUCUGACUUUCAAUUAGUUUCUCCUUUCAUAAGAGUUCUUACAGAGCAUAAAGUAUUUGCAGUUGGCCUCCUAGAAAUACCCUUCCUCCAGCCAAUCCUACCUCCACCUCUGCAUAGCUGGCAGCAGUGCUUGGACAGCAGGCACGAUCACCCUGCCAGGGGUGGCCACACUGAACUCUGCCCUGCCAUCUGACACCAGUGCCCGGCCAGGAGGCAUGGCAGGACUGUGGGAGGAGAAGUGGGAACACUAGGUAAUUCUGCUUAAACAGCCAAGAUGACUGCCAGGGACGAAGAUAGAAAGGCAAGGGCUAGAAGCCCAAAAGAGAGGUGCAAAUUGCUUGGUACUCAGGCUGUGGUCUGCCGCCUGCAUGCAUAAAAUACUAAGGCACUGAUUUUCCAAGUGGCUUGGUGAGCUUACAUAUCUUUCAAGCUGCUUUCAAAGUCUAACCUGAAGAUCAGUUAAUGUGGGCUCUUCUUUUUAAAGGUUUCAAGGCCUCACCAGUUUUUAAAAGUACACAGAAAGUCUUUUUUCUUUUUUUCUUUUUUGUUUAAAGUUCCUAGUGUUGUAUAGACACCUACCUAUAGUUUUUUUUCUUUAAAUAAAAUACUAAUGCUUUUGACUGCAAUUACAGCAUGGUGAUGAAAAUCUCA